UUUUAAAUUGCUAAAGCCUUACAAGAUUUACAACAUCAAGACCACUGUUUAAUUGGGGCGAUAACCUUAUCCACAGCCACCUAAGGUGAACAAAGCGAUACAAGGAUCCUAAAUACUAAUUUGACCAACUAAUAAGUGCAAAGAUACAUGUUUUGCUUAAUGGCCCAACAAGUCCUUCCCAGUACUUAAAUGCUAUCUUAAUGAGCUUUAAAUUAAUUUACCAGAGUGAAGCUACUCUACGGAUAACAGGCUUAAUUUCCGCAAUAUCCAAGGUCACAUUAUCAAGAAUAAAGCACCUCGAUGUCGGCUUAU
rnacentral:rRNA from 1 species